UAAUACGUAGGGGGCAAGCGUUGUCCGGAUUUAUUGGGCGUAAAGAGCUCGUAGGCGGUUCCGUAAGUCGAGUGUGAAAAAUCUGGGCUCAACCCAGUGAAGCACUCGAUACUGCGGUGACUAGAGUACGGUAGAGGAGUGUGGAAUUCCUGGUGUAGCGGUGAAAUGCGCAGAUAUCAGGAGGAACACCAACGGCGAAGGCAGCACUCUGGGCCGGUACUGACGCUGAGGAGCGAAAGCGUGGGGAGCGAACAGG
rnacentral:rRNA from 1 species